GCCCUGGUAGUGCAGUGGUUAAGCAUUCAGCUGCUAACUGAAAGGCUGGCGGUUCAAACCCACUCAGCGGCU
rnacentral:tRNA from 1 species